ACACGUUAGUUCCUCCAUGGAAUUGCUUCCAGAAGACAUCAGUGACCCACCACCGCUGUUCUCCAUCGAGCCCCACUGCGGUACCAUCCCUGCUGGACAGAAUCAGAUUUUCCAUGUGAAAUUCUGCCCGAUGCGUGUGGGGAAAUUUAAGGCCAAAAUACUGUGCAGUCUUCCUAACCUGAAGUCACCUCAGAAGAGCCCAUCAGUGUCUGUGAUGGGGGAAGGCUACUUGCUGAAGACUGAUCAGAAACGGACUACGUCACUGCCAAAAGGGGAAACCCAGAGCAGCAAACCCAAGAAGAAGGUGCAAUCAUCAAAAUGAGAGUGACACCCUUUGUGUCAUGACUUCUUCCUGCUCAAGGUUUCCCAGCCUUCAGCAGAGACCUCCCCCGUUACUUUUCAACGCCCAAAACCCACCUCUACCUCAUCUACCUAAUAAACUGUGUUUCAGCGCA